rnacentral:rRNA from 1 species
GUGUCAGCAGCCGCGGUAAUACGUAGGGCGCAAGCGUUGUCCGGAAUUAUUGGGCGUAAAGAGCUCGUAGGCGGUCUGUCGCGUCUGGUGUGAAAUCCCAUGGCUCAACUGUGGGCUUGCAUCGGGUACGGGCAGACUAGAGUGCUGUAGGGGAGACUGGAAUUCCUGGUGUAGCGGUGGAAUGCGCAGAUAUCAGGAGGAACACCGAUGGCGAAGGCAGGUCUCUGGGCAGUUACUGACGCUGAGGAGCGAAAGCAUGGGGAGCGAACAGGAUUAGAUACCCCAGUAGUCC